rnacentral:lncRNA from 1 species
AUGGUUGACAGCAACCCAACACACUGUUGAGUAAUUACAUCAGACAUAUUAUUGUACUGAUAGAUGUAAGAGGAGAUUUCUGAUCAAACUCUUUAUAAACAUUCAGACCACAUGAAAAUAAUAUUUCUGAAAUAUUUUUUAUAAAAACUAUUUUUUUUCCAAACAGGAAUAACAUACUGGUACCUACCUAUGUAUUAGAUCUAUAAGUCUUAU